rnacentral:rRNA from 1 species
UCAGAGAAGGAGUUCUGACGGUAUCUGAGGAAUAAGCAUCGGCUAACUCUGUGCCAGCAGCCGCGGUAAUACAGGGGAUGCAAGCGUUAUCCGGAAUUAUUGGGCGUAAAGCGUCCUGAGGUGGCUUACCCAGUCGACUGUGAAAGCUCAAGGCUUAACCUUGAAACGGCAGUCGAAACUUGUAAGCUUGAGUACGGUAGGGGCAGAGGGAAUUCCCGGAGGAGAGGUGAAAUUCGUAGAUAUCGG